rnacentral:rRNA from 1 species
GGGAAUUUUGGACAAUGGGGGCAACCCUGAUCCAGCCAUCCCGCGUGUGCGAUGAAGGCCUUCGGGUUGUAAAGCACUUUUGGCAGGGAAGAAACAGCCUGGGCUAAUAUCCCGGGCGACUGACGGUACCUGCAGAAUAAGCACCGGCUAACUACGUGCCAGCAGCCGCGGUAAUACGUAGGGUGCAAGCGUUAAUCGGAAUUACUGGGCGUAAAGCGUGCGCAGGCGGUUCGGAAAGAAAGGUGUGAAAUCCCAGGGCUUAACCUUGGAACUGCACUUUUAACUACCGGGCUAGAGUACGUCAGAGGGGGGUAGAAUUCCACGUGUAGCAGUGAAAUGCGUAGAGAUGUGGAGGAAUACCGAUGGCGAAGGCAGCCCCCUGGGAUGAUACUGACGCUCAUGCACGAAAGCGUGGGGAGCAAACA